rnacentral:rRNA from 1 species
CCUACGGGUGGCAGCAGUGGGGAAUAUUGGGCAAUGGGCGCAAGCCUGACCCAGCAACGCCGCGUGAAGGAAGAAUGCUUUCUGGUUGUAAACUUCUUUUAAGAGGGAAGAGAAGAAGACGGUACCUCUUGAAUAAGCCACAGCUAACUACGUGCCAGCGGCCGCGGUAAUGCGUAGGUGGCAAGCGUUUUCCGGAUUUACUGGGUGUAAAGGGCGUGCAGCCGGGAAGACAAGUCAGGUGUGAAAUCCCGCGGCUCAACCGCGGAACUGCGUUUGAAACUGUUUUUCUUGAGUACCGGAGAGGUCAGCGGAAUUCCUGGUGUAGCGGUGAAAUGCGUAGAUAUAAGGAAGAACACCAGUGGCGAAGGCGGAUGACUGGACGGCAACUGACGGUGAGGCGCGAAAGCGUGGGGAGCAAACAGGAUUAGAUACCCGUGUAGUC